GCGUUGGUGGUAUAGUGGUGAGCAUAGCUGCCUUCCGAGCAGUUGACUCUGGUUCGUUUCCUGGUCAAAGCA
rfam:Ovis aries breed Texel chromosome 6, whole genome shotgun sequence.